rnacentral:rRNA from 1 species
GACGAACGCUGGCGGCGUGCUUAACACAUGCAAGUCGAACGGAAAGGCCCUGCUUGCAGGGUACUCGAGUGGCGAACGGGUGAGUAACACGUGGGUGCUCUGCCCUGCACUUCGGGAUAAGCUUGGGAAACUGGGUCUAAUACCGGAUAGGAGCCAUCUUCAGUGUGGUGGUUGGAAAGUUUUUUCGGUGUAGGAUGAGCUCGCGGCCUAUCAGCUUGUUGGUGGGGUAAUGGCCUACCAAGGCGGCGACGGGUAGCCGGCCUGAGAGGGUGUACGGCCACUGUGGGACUGAGAGACGGCCCAGACUCCGACGGGAGGCAGCAGUGGGGAAUAUUGCACAAUGGGCGCAAGCCUGAGGCAGCGACGCCGCGUGGGGGAUGAAGGCCUUCGGGUUGUAAACUCCUUUCGCUAGGGACGAAGCUUUGUUGUGACGGUACCUAGAUAAGAAGCACCGGCUAACUACGUG